rnacentral:tRNA from 1 species
GGUAAAAUGGCUGAAAUUUAGGCGGUAAAUUGUAAAUUUAUUUAUGGAUUAAUUCCUUUUACUA